CKGCMAGUCGAACGGAUAGCUUGCUAUCAGUGGCGCACGGGUGAGUAACACGUGGGAACCUACCUUUUAGUUUGGGAUAACUUUGGGAAACUAAGGCUAAUACCGGAUACGCUUUGCAGCUUGGCGCUGUAAAGGAAAGAUUUAUCGCUAAAAGAUGGGCCCGCGGUGGAUUAGCUUGUUGGUGGGGUAAAGGCUUACCAAGGCAACGAUCCAUAGCUGGUCUGAGAGGAUGAUCAGCCACACUGGGACUGAGAUACGGCCCAGACUCCUACGGGAGGCAGCAGUGGGGAAUAUUGGACAAUGGGCGAAAGCCUGAUCCAGCAAUGCCGCGUGAGUGAAGAAGGUCUUCGGAUUGUAAAGCUCUUUCACGGGUGAAGAUAAUGACGGUAACCCGAGGAGAAGCCCCGGCUAACUUCGUGCCAGCAGCCGCGGUAAUACGUAGGGGGCUAGCGUUGUUCGGAAUUACUGGGCGUAAAGGGCGCGUAGGCGGUCUGUCAAGUUAGGUGUGAAAGCCCUGGGCUCAACCCAGGAACUGCAUUUAAGACUGGCAGGCUAGAGAUCUAGAGGGGAUAGUGGAAUUCCAAGUGUAGAGGUGAAAUUCGUAGAUAUUUGGAGGAACACCAGUGGCGAAGGCGACUAUCUGGCUAGAAUCUGACGCUGAGGCGCGAUAGCGUGGGGGAGCAAACAGGAUUAGAUACCCUGGUAGUCCACGCCGUAAACGAUGAGUGCUUGAUGUUGGGAUGCUAACGCAUUCAGUGUCGGAGUUAACGCGUUAARGCACUUCCGCCUGGGGGAGUACGGUCGCMAGAUUAAAMACUCAAAGGAAUUUGACGGGGGACCCCGCACAAGCCG
rnacentral:rRNA from 1 species